rnacentral:lncRNA from 1 species
GAGGUCGCAGCACGCCGCUACCUGCAAGCCCGAAAGCUGAAUGCAGCUCUAGUGUGGCGCGUAGUCUUACUGGGUACUAUUUUACUUAAUCGCUGACGUUGAGUGAGAGGUGACCAAGCUCAGAUGCUGAGAUUAAGGCGGCCGGGCGAAACUCGCGACACCCUGCGAUUCCCUCUUAGCCAGCUGCGUAAAGUUGCCUACGCCAAGCGGGUAGCGUCCUGCUCGGCCACCUGGCGGCGGGCGUGGAGUUGGCAGGCAGGCAGUGGGGGUCACGCCGGCAUGAAAGGCCAGAUCACCUGCAGGUCGCCAAGUUGCCGGGAAUCCCCCGCUCCGAGCAGUGUCAUGCCCAUCACAAAUAACCCUAUCGCAGCCGGGAGGAAGGCUCCCCUGUUCCUUUUUGCUGACGUGUCAUUUCUAAGUACUUUCUCCUACUCCAUAAAGACUUCAA